UUCAAACGCAUGCGUUUCUCUCUCCUCCUUCCAAAAAUAUAACGACUUUCUCUCUCUACUCCCCUGAGAAAUCGACCGUGAUUCCUAUCUCUUCAAAUAUCUUCAAAAAUGUUGCGAUUUUUUGUGUGAUUUUUCGGAGCUGGAUUUUAUGCCAAUUUCUAGAGAUGAUUUCGAUCAGUUAUUUGAGAGUUUUCAAGUUAUUUGGUGAAUUCACUCCAAAAGUUAUCAAUCGUAGAGGUUUUUAAAUUGAAUACUGAGAAGAUCUAUUGUUCGAUAAUCUUCUCCUCUUGGUUACCGGACUGAUUGUCGUCCUCCAUCAUCAUUGAUUGAAACAACUCAGAAUUGAAGCGAGUACAACAAAAAUGAAAAAAAAAUCCAAAAAAGGCAGAACAGGCAACGACGAGGACAAGGGAGGAGAAAGAGAUAGCAAAGGAGCUGCGGAAAGUGAAGGAGGCAGAAGCCAAGGCCUUAAUUUAUUUCUCUGCAGGCUGUCAUUCGUGGAAUGGUGUUUCCUUCACGAUUAAACCUGAUUGGAAUACCAAUAAAUUAACACUUCCAUGGUUGCUGCUAUCUCAGCCGGAGCCUAGGGUCUGCUAGUGUCUGGUUUGCAGACUAGUUCUCUUUUUUUUUGCUUUGAUUGCAGGUGUGAGGUGCAGUUGCUGAGUACAAGCAAGAGCAGUCAGUUAGGAAGUGUUAGAUGUUGGCUUGGAGAGUGGUUUAUGUUGUCUCUUUUGUCCUUCAUGUCCUUUUCUUCUCUUCUUGCCAUGAUUGAAAUUUUUAAUGAUUUUCUUAAACCUAUUAGCUCAAAA